rnacentral:lncRNA from 1 species
ACACCAGUGUCUUCGGUGACCAGGUCUCUGUCUUUGCCCUGAUCAUAAAAUUCUGAUGAGGCUUCGGCAUUCUCCAGCAGAGACUGCACAUCACUUGCAGCGAGGUUUGGCCUUUUCCUCUGUGCUUUGGGGCCAAAUGUUGUUUCAAAUGUUUCUGUGUCAAGAAUGUGAACUCUGGAGGUGUGAGGUUUAAUCCGAUCGUGGAAAAGGGACAUUGGUAACUUGCUUUGCUUCAUGACCACUCUGUAUGGAUCUUUCAUGACAGUUUCCAUUUCCUCUUGAAAUUUCUGUAGGGAUGAUUGCUUGAUCACACGAGUAUUCCCAAACCAUUUAAUAUUUGGUUCCACUCUUGCAACUGUGCCUGGUGCCACUGUUGACUGAUACUGCAGAGGUUUAAUUACUUUGCCACGUUUGUUUCUCCGCUCCUUCUGCCGGUACAUGUUGAGGCGGCGGAUGGUGGCUCGGUCCCGCAUGUUGUUCCCGCCCGCGCCAGCCACGCGAUCAGGAUUGGUGCUGGCGCGGGACGGAUUGAUGGUGCUGCGGCCCUUAUAGCGUGGCUUCACCAUGGUGCCGCCGGGACCGGACCAAACGGAGAGACCGCUCCACCACACGCG